rnacentral:rRNA from 1 species
GUGUCAGCAGCCGCGGUAAUACGGAGGGUGCAAACGUUGCUCGGAAUCAUUGGGCGUAAAGCGCACGUAGGCGGCCUGCUAAGUCGGGUGUGAAAUCCCUCGGCUCAACUGAGGAAGUGCAUUCGAUACUGGCGGGCUUGAAUAUGGAAGAGGGUCGCGGAAUUCCCGGUGUAGAGGUGAAAUUCGUAGAUAUCGGGAGGAACACCAGUGGCGAAGGCGGCGACCUGGGCCAAUAUUGACGCUGAGGUGCGAAAGCGUGGGGAGCAAACAGGAUUAGAUACCCCUGUAGUCC